UACGUAGGUGGCAAGCGUUAUCCGGAUUUAUUGGGCGUAAAGGGAACGCAGGCGGUCUUUUAAGUCUGAUGUGAAAGCCUUCGGCUUAACCGGAGUAGUGCAUUGGAAACUGGGAGACUUGAGUGCAGAAGAGGAGAGUGGAACUCCAUGUGUAGCGGUGAAAUGCGUAGAUAUAUGGAAGAACACCAGUGGCGAAAGCGGCUCUCUGGUCUGUAACUGACGCUGAGGGUCGAAAGCGUGGGGAUCGAACAGG
rnacentral:rRNA from 1 species